GCUAGAGCCUGGUAGGCUGCAGCAGGUGCACUCGUAGGAGUCGGGUACCUGGAGACAAGCCUACUCUGAUUCAGAGACUUGAUGUAGACUGUCACCGAGUCUUUCCCUCCAAGCUCCACAUCAGCCCAGGUUUGCUUGAAACUCUGACAACCUGGCAUGAGACUUUGAAGUGCAAAACCUGCUCUCUUUUCGUCACAAUCCCUGUAAUGAAUUGAGGUAUACAAAGCUGGUCAUACAAUACGUAUCAGCAGCGCGCGGAGAAAGACUCUUAGGGAAGAGUUUCCAUAGAAACACUGACGUCCUGCCCUGCUAACAGGACAUCGAGUUCCUUGAACGGGAGCUGCUUUACUUUCAUUCUCUUGGCUGUUGACAUAAUCAUUUCAGAAGACCUCCAGUCAUCAUAGAGUCUUUCCUGCGAGACCGGAUGUGACGUGAAAAGGAGAGCGGGAAAGAAAUAGCGGUUUUGCCCUCUUUUCUUCCCAAGAUGAAUAAGGCCAGAAGGUUGGGGUUCUCCCAUCCUUAUACACAGCCAAAAGGUCUCUGAUGGAGGAUCCAGAAGUGUGGACUGAAAGCUCACUGUUUUAAAUGAAGAGCCAAGGGUGUUAAAACUUUAACAGAAAAGCUUCUUUCUCUUCUGUUUUUCAGGACUUUGUGCUAAACAGAUGUU